AGCAGCCUUGCUAAUUCCAGCUCCAAUAGCGUAUAUUAAAGUUGUUGCAGUUAAAAAGCUCGUAGUUGAAUUUCGGGGUUCUACCGUUGGUCGGGCUUUGUCUGUACUGGCGUGUAGAAUUUCUACCUUCUGGGGAACCAUCAUGUUAUUAAUUUAACGUGGUGGGAAACCAGGACCUUUACCUUGAAAAAAUUAGAGUGUUCAAAGCAGGCUUAUGUCUGAAUACAUUAGCAUGGAAUAAUAAAAUAGGACGGUGGUCCUGUUUUGUUGGUUUCUGAAUCACCGUAAUGAUUAAUAGGGAUAGUUGGGGGCAUUAGUAUUCAAUUGUCAGAGGUGAAAUUCUUGGAUUUAU
rnacentral:rRNA from 1 species